rnacentral:rRNA from 1 species
UACGUAGGGGGCAAGCGUUGUCCGGAAUCAUUGGGCGUAAAGCGCGCGUAGGCGGCCAGAUUAGUCCGGUGUGAAAGUCAGAGGCUCAACCUUUGAAUGCCGCUGGAAACUGUCUGGCUUGAGUCCGGAAGGGGCGAGUGGAAUUCCUGGUGUAGCGGUGAAAUGCGCAGAUAUCGGGAAGAACACCCGUGGCGAAGGCGGUUCUCUGGGACGGUACUGACGCUGAGACGCGAAAGCGUGGGGAGCGAACAGG